AUUGAACGCUGGCGGCAUGCCUUACACAUGCAAGUCGAACGGCAGCACGGGAGCAAUCCUGGUGGCGAGUGGCGAACGGGUGAGUAAAGUUUCGGAACGUGCCCAGUCGUGGGGGAUAACGUAGCGAAAGUUACGCUAAUACCGCAUACGACCUAUGGAUGAAAGCGGGGGAUCGCAAGACCUCGCGCGAUUGGAGCGGCCGAUAUCAGAUUAGGUAGUUGGUGGGGUAAAGGCUCACCAAGCCGACGAUCUGUAGCUGGUCUGAGAGGACGACCAGCCACACUGGGACUGAGACACGGCCCAGACUCCUACGGGAGGCAGCAGUGGGGAAUUUUGGACAAUGGGCGAAAGCCUGAUCCAGCCAUGCCGCGUGCAGGAUGAAGGCCUUCGGGUUGUAAACUGCUUUUGUACGGAACGAAAAGGUUUGGCCUAAUAAGCUGAGCUCAUGACGGUACCGUAAGAAUAAGCACCGGCUAACUACGUGCCAGCCGCCGCGGUAA
rnacentral:rRNA from 1 species